CCACUUACAGAUGGACCCGCGGCGCAUUAGCUAGUUGGUGAGGUAAUGGCUCACCAAGGCAACGAUGCGUAGCCGACCUGAGAGGGUGAUCGGCCACACUGGGACUGAGACACGGCCCAGACUCCUACGGGAGGCAGCAGUAGGGAAUCUUCCGCAAUGGACGAAAGUCUGACGGAGCAACGCCGCGUGAGUGAUGAAGGUUUUCGGAUCGUAAAGCUCUGUUGUUAGGGAAGAACAAGUGCCGUUCAAAUAGGGCGGCACCUUGACGGUACCUAACCAGAAAGCCACGGCUAACUACGUGCCAGCAGCCGCGGUAAUACGUAGGUGGCAAGCGUUGUCCGGAAUUAUUGGGCGUAAAGGGCUCGCAGGCGGUUUCUUAAGUCUGAUGUGAAAGCCCCCGGCUCAACCGGGGAGGGUCAUUGGAAACUGGGGAACUUGAGUGCAGAAGAGGAGAGUGGAAUUCCACGUGUAGCGGUGAAAUGCGUAGAGAUGUGGAGGAACACCAGUGGCGAAGGCGACUCUCUGGUCUGUAACUGACGCUGAGGAGCGAAAGCGUGGGGAGCGAACAGGAUUAGAUACCCUGGUAGUCCACGCCGUAAACGAUGAGUGCUAAGUGUUAGGGGGUUUCCGCCCCUUAGUGCUGCAGCUAACGCAUUAAGCACUCCGCCUGGGGAGUACGGUCGCAAGACUGAAACUCAAAGGAAUUGACGGGGGCCCGCACAAGCGGUGGAGCAUGUGGUUUAAUUCGAAGCAACGCGAAGAACCUUACCAUGUCUUGACAUCCUCUGACACCCCUAGAGAUAGGGCUUCCCCUUCGGGGGCAGAGUGACAGGUGGUGCAUGGUUGUCGUCAGCUCGUGUCGUGAGAUGUUGGGUUAAGUCCCGCAACGAGCGCAACCCUUGAUCUUAGUUGCCAGCAUUCAGUUGGGCACUCUAAGGUGACUGCCGGUGACAAACCGGAGGAAGGUGGGGAUGACGUCAAAUCAUCAUGCCCCUUAUGACCUGGGCUACACACGUGCUACAAUGGACAGAACAAA
rnacentral:rRNA from 1 species